UACGUAGGCAGCAAGCGUUGUUCGGAGUUACUGGGCGUAAAGGGUGUGUAGGCGGUUCUUUUAAGUUUGGUGUGAAAUCUCCCGGCUCAACCGGGAGGGUGCGCCGAAUACUGAGGGACUAGAGUGUGGGAGAGGAAAGUGGAAUUCCUGGUGUAGCGGUGAAAUGCGUAGAUAUCAGGAGGAACACCGGUGGUGUAGACAGCUUACUGGACCAUAACUGACGCUGAGGCACGAAAGCGUGGGUAGCAAACAGG
rnacentral:rRNA from 1 species